rnacentral:rRNA from 1 species
AUGCAUCUCGAUCUGGACAGGGAAAGCCAAGUAAAUGUCAAGUACUGGGAGGCACUCAUGGUAGUGUGUGAUUGGGAGCUAGGUGAGGCUCAUAAAAGAGAUGUCGUGGACCGGGCUAGGGUGCGUGGUGAGGAACCACCCCGUGAGGUUGAACAGAGAGGCUUGCAUGCAAGUAUUGAGGGGGAUGUAAAAGAUCUCUUGGGAGGGUAA